rnacentral:rRNA from 1 species
GGACAACCUACCCUCAGAUCUGGGAUAAACCUGGGAAACUGGGUAUAAUACCGGAUAGGUCUUGGAUGCUGGAAUGCACCGAGGCCCAAAGCUCCGGCGUCUGAGGAUGGGUCUGCGGCCUAUCAGGGUAGUAGUGGGUGUAAAGUACCUACUAGCCUACGACGGGUACGGGUCGUGAGAGCGAGAGCCCGGAGAUGGAUUCUGAGACACGAAUCCAGGCCCUACGGGGUGCAGCAGGCGCGAAAACUUUACAAUGCCGGCAACGGCGAUAAGGGGACCUCGAGUGCCAGGAUACAAUCCUGGCUGUCGUAAUGCCUAAAAAGCAUUAUAUAGCAAGGGCCGGGCAAGACCGGUGCCAGCCGCCGCGGUAACACCGGCGGCUCGAGUGGUAACCGCUAUUAUUGGGUCUAAAGGGUCUGUAGCCGGCCUGGUAAGUCUUUUGGGAAAUCCGGCAGCUCAACUGUCGGGCUAUCAGAGGAUACUGCUAGGCUCGAGACCGGGAGAGGUGAGAGGUACUUCAUGGGUAGGGGUGAAAUCUUGUAAUCCUUGAAGGACCACCAGUGGCGAAGGCGUCUCACCAGAACGGAUCUGACGGCAAGGGACGAAAGCUAGGGGCACGAACCGGAUUAGAUACCCGGGUAGUCCUAGCCGUAAACGAUACUCGCUAGGUGUCGGCCACGGUGCGACCGUGGUCGGUGCCGUAGGGAAGCCGUGAAGCGAGCCACCUGGGAAGUACGGCCGCAAGGCUGAAACU